GCCAGGUUUGCGCAGGCGCAGCGCGGCCGCGGGUGGGCGGAACUGGUCGGGAUGAGUGGCGGAGGGACAGAGACCCCUGUGGGUUGUGAGGCCGCCCCGGGCGGUGGCAGCAAGAAGAGGGACUCCCUGGGGACUGCAGGCUCAGCGCACCUCAUUAUCAAGGAUCUUGGAGAAAUUCAUUCAAGGCUUUUGGAUCACAGACCAGUUAUUCAAGGUGAAACUCGUUAUUUUGUAAAAGAAUUUGAAGAAAAGCGUGGUCUUCGAGAAAUGCGAGUUCUUGAAAAUUUGAAGAAUAUGAUCCAUGAAACAAAUGAACAUACUCUUCCCAAAUGUAGAGACACAAUGCGAGACAACCUCAGCCAAGUUCUCCAGAGAUUGCAAGCAGCUAAUGAUUCAGUCUGUAGACUCCAACAGAGGGAACAGGAACGAAAAAAGAUUCAUAGUGACCACUUAGUAGCUAGUGAGAAACAGCAUACGCUCCAGUGGGACGACUUCAUGAAGGAGCAACCCAACAAAAGGGCUGAAGUGGAUGAAGAGCACAGAAAAGCCAUGGGGAGGCUUAAAGAACAAUAUGCUGAGAUGGAGAAGGACCUAGCGAAAUUUUCAACUUUUUAAGAACUUGAACCACAACAAUCACAAACUAAUGUGAAUAUGUUCACCUCUCUCCUGAAAAAUAUUCCCACCAAACCAUUUAGCCUCUGCUUCAAGCUUAGCAAUAUAUUCAGUGGCACUCUUGUAUCAGAAGAAAGAAGCUUCUACUGGCAUUCUGAUUGGAUGUUUAAAGAAAGGCUUGACAGGCUCAUCAAUCAUUUGCUGGUACCUGGACUAAAAAGCACACUUGCUGACACCAAGGCAUGUUGGAAUUUUCUUAAUUCUCUUUCAGUGGAUGGAAAAAAAAAUACUUCCAAAAAUAUCCCACACAUGAAAAGGGAGGGGAGCCUUAAAUGAAAAUUCCCUUUGUACCAUGGACACUUUUUGGAAUGCGAUUAAUUGCCAACACAUCAUUGAACGAAUGCUGUAACCAAGAAAUUAAGAUUGUAUGUGUGAGGGGAAUAUAUUCUUAACUGUGGCUACCCAGCUUGUAUAGCAAAGAUUUCUGAUAGUUUGUGUUCAUCUCAUGUGAAUAAUACUUUACC